CCUCGAGGAGCUGCAGAGCAACUACAGCCAGCGGCUGGUCAGCCUGCGGGGCGAGCUCAACCACACCCUGCAGAAAUGUGGCUCCUCCUGCGGCCGAGUGUCCCUGGACGGGCUCGCCUUCACCGCCAACUUCAGCACGAUCCCAGGUGUGGAGCAGCAGCUGGAGGCACUGCGUGAGGUCUCUGAGUUAAACAUGGAGACUGAUUUAGAGGAGGUAAGGGGUGCUCCCUUCACCCAGGCACAAAGCUGGGUGCUCCUGCAACUGUGCUGACAGGGUGUGGGCUGUGAAGAGCUCUGUCAGGAGCUCAGUGUGUGAUGUGGAGGAAAGGUCCAGAGGUCUGUUUGCUGUCCCAGCUAUCCCUGCACACUGGUAGGGUGGACUGGGUGCUGUGGGGAGCCUGGCUGUCAUGUGUUACUGGGAUCUGGGGACAAGGGGAUGUGCUGCUCAGCCCUGGACUGCAGGCAGGGAUGUGAGUUCCAUGCAGUGCUCUCCUGGAUGCAGGUUAACAGAACGCUGAGCAUGACCCCUGACAAGGUGCAAAAGCAGUCCCAGGAAGUGGUGGCAAAGAGCCAGGACCAGCUGGGUCUCAUCAGGCAGGAGAUCAGAAGCUUGCAGGAAGGGUUGCCACUCCUGGAUGUGGAGGAGAAAGUUGGGGCCUUUGUGAACAAUGCCACAUCGAUGCUGGAGGAGUACAGGGAGCCGGUCAUCGCCUGGGAUGGGCUCAGGUGGGUGAGGGGCUGCUGCCCCAGCUCCAUUGUCUGGAGAGUUUUAAGGUUCCUGCUCCUUCCAUUGCUAGAGGUGGGAGCUUGCUGGGUGGUGGGGUUGUGGGUGCAGGGUAGUCAGAGCUGUGCCUUGCAUCAUGCCCCUUCCCUG
rnacentral:lncRNA from 1 species